GUGCCAGCCGCCGCGGUAAUACGUAGGGUCCGAGCGUUGUCCGGAAUUAUUGGGCGUAAAGGGCUCGUAGGCGGUUUGUCGCGUCGGGAGUGAAAACUCAGGGCUCAACCCUGAGCGUGCUUCCGAUACGGGCAAACUAGAGGUAUGCAGGGGAGAAUGGAAUUCCUGGUGUAGCGGUGGAAUGCGCAGAUAUCAGGAGGAACACCGGUGGCGAAGGCGGUUCUCUGGGCAUUACCUGACGCUGAGGAGCGAAAGCAGUGGGAGCGAACAGGAUUAGAUACCCUGGUAGUCCAUGCCGUAAACGUUGGGCGCGUAGGUGUCGGGACCUUCCGACGGUCUCCGUGCCGCAGCUAACG
rnacentral:rRNA from 1 species